GAUGAAGAACGCAGCGAAAUGCGAUAAGUAAUGUGAAUUGCAGAAUUCAGUGAAUCAUCGAAUCUUUGAACGCACAUUGCGCCCGCCAGUAUUCUGGCGGGCAUGCCUGUUCGAGCGUCAUUUCAACCAUCAAGCCCCCGGCUUGUGUUGGGGACCUGCGGCUGCCGCAGGCCCUGAAAACCAGUGGCGGGCUCGCUAGUCACUCCGAGCGUAGUAAUACAUCUCGCUCAGGGCGUGCUGCGGGUUCCGGCCGUUAAAAAGCCUUAUUUACCCAAGGUUGACCUCGGAUCAGGUAGGAAGACCCGCUGAACUUAAGCAUAUCAUAAGCGGAGGA
rnacentral:misc_RNA from 1 species